rnacentral:piRNA from 1 species
GGAGAAGCAGGCACUUCACAUGGUAAA